GGUACAUAAUUUUCGUAAUAUGUUCAGCGCAGUUCUCUUCCUCUCCUGCUCGUCCCUCCAUUCCCCACACUGUUCUUGUGUGAUUCGCUCCACCACUGACCAGCAACCACUUCAUAUCCCUUUGCCUGAUUUGAUCAUUGAUCCUCUCAUCCUCCCCCAAAAACCCGUGCAAAGCCCAAAGUAUUUAUAGGUGUAUACUUGGGCUCCCGAAUGAAAUACUCCCUCAAUUAGGGGCUCGUGUUAUGCUUCUUUCAAAAGAAGAGAACGUAAGUAAUAGGCUUUUCCUUGAUUUUUUUUUUCAAGGGUCAUGUUGGUGUUUGAUUACAGUGUGGGAUUGGUUUUUAGGCUUUUCUUUUGGUUUAAAUGCAGAAAUUUUAAGAUGCCUUUUGUGGGAAUAAUGAAGAUAAUGAGUACAGGAUUUUGAUUUUCCAUCUAUUUAAUUGUUUAUGUCUGUUCACAGUGGUUUAAUUCUUUACUCUCUCUGCAUCUUCACCUUGUUGAUUGAUUAAUAAAAUGAUAUACACAUAAUCAUAUAUGGGAAAAUGAGUUAGCUAGAUUGAAGUGGUACCCUUUUUUGAUUGCCUCUCAGCCAUUCUCAGCCAUACUGCUUUGAGUUUGGGGUUGCUUUUGUGUUGGACUUUUUUUUAUCUCUCUCUCUCUCUCUCUCUCUCUCUCUCUCUCUCUCUCUCUCUAUAUAUAUAUAUAUAUAUAUAUAUAUAUAUAUAUCUGUGUGUGUGUGUGUAUCAUUUUAGAAGACCCAAUUUGAAGAAAUUUCCCAAGACAGACAAACUAAACCCCAUUUGAUUCAAACGGCAAUAGCAAUUGAUGAUAAUGUUUAGGGUAUAUUCAUUAAGAAAAAUAGGACAGAGAAGCAUUUGUUUGAAGAGAGGGAUGACGGCCGAAUAAUGUUCGAGUUUGGAAAGUUGAGUCAAGAUUUGAUUGACAAUUAGGGUAUAUGCAUAACUGUCAUCUGUUCUUCGUUUUCUUUCUUCUGCUUUUGGUUUCUCUCUGUUUUAUUUUUCUCCUUUUACACCAUUCUUUUCCCUCUUCAUCCGUCAUUUUCCCACUAUUUCAAGAGUUAAAAUUAAUGUUUCUUCCUCUUAUUUUUCUUUUCUCUUCGUUUUUCAUUGUUCUUUUCUUGUCCAGGCGUCCAAAAAGUCGUAUGUUCUUCAUUUUCUUUCUUCUGCUUUUGCUUUCUCUCUUUGUUUUACUUUUCUCCUUUUACCAUUCUUUUCUCUCUUCAUCCAUCAUUUUCCCACUAUCAAGAGUUGAAACAUUGAGAAUUUUCAUAAUGUCAGCUUUCAUUGGGACUGAAUUGAUCAGUUAACCAACUGUUGAUCAACCGAGAAUUUUAGACGGUCACAAUUGGAACAUAGACUAAUCUAGGUCGGAUUCAAUGUUCAGCAAUAUUUGAACCAAACUAGUAUGAGACAGGCCCUAAUACAGUCAACAUUAUUUGUUGAGUUUGUUUCUUUAUCAAUUUGGAUGCUUGAAGCUAUCAAAAUGAAAUUUUGAAUAAACCCCAUUUUGUAUAGGAGUUUGAUUAUUGGAGAUGGGAUGACUAACAAUGCAACUCUAAUAGUGAAUCCGUAUACUGCCCUUCUAGUCAAAGUUCAACAGCAAAUCUUUAUACUCCCCUACGUCCUCUCAUUAAUACAUAGAGGAAAAGUAGAUACAUAAAUACUCCGCUAGUCUAUAUAUAGUGCUCUUGUUGGUUGAAACAAAACUGCCAAUCAUCAAUAUGGAAAGACUAAAUAGCUUUAAGCACCUUAACCAUAAGUGGGCUAGUGGAGAGCAUUCUACCCUGCUUCUUCAACCUCAAGCCACAUAUGGAAACACUUUUUCAGCUUCAUAAACUUCAUGACCCUCAAAUCUGCAAUUGAACAAGGUAUACCAGAUAUCAUCAAAAAACAUGGCCGCCCCAUAACUCUUUCUGAGCUCACAUCUGCAUUACCAAUUCACCCAACAAAAGUCCCGUGUUUACCACCUCAUGUGUAUAUUGGUCCACUCCGGCUUUUUUGCAAAAAAAGAGCUGAAUGAACUGGAUGAGGAAGAAGGUUAUAUACUUACUGACGCUUCUCAGCUCCUCCUUAAGGAUCACCCCUGGCCUUCAGUAUAACACCAUUUCUAAUGACUCUGCUCAACCCUAACUUCACAAACACAUGCUAUUAUAUGAGCACUUGGUUCCAAAAUGAUGACCCUAUGCCAUUUAACAUGGCAUAUGGGAUGACAUUUUGGGACUACAUCACCCAGGAGCCAAGUCGUGCCAACCUUUUCAAUGUUGCCAUGGCUAGUGAUACUCGUUUGAUGACCAGCGUGUCACUUAUAGAGUGCAAGGGGGUAUUCGAGGGAUUGAAAUCAUUAGUUGAUAUUGGGGGUGUUAGAUCUCUCAUUGAGGUUUAUCCUUGAUACUGAGCUUCUACUUGUGUAACUGUCAGUGCAUAAAGAAUAAGAUUGUUUUCAAACUAUAAAAUUGGGAUGAUGAUUUUUUUUAUAACUUUUUC